UAGCAAGUAAAUGUGAUUCACUGCAGUGCAGAGUCUUGACACAGAAUUGAGACCAAGGCUUAUGUGAUCAUAUCAUUGAGUCCAUUUGUGUAAUUGCCAGCAGUGGCUAGAAAUAUUAGCAAUCUCAGGGUCAUAACAUACUCACCGGGGCAGCACAAGGGAGGAUUAUUUUCAUGUGAUGCAAGUGACGACAAGAAUGUUUGUGCAGAGGCAGAAAGGUACAGAGACAGAGAGAGGCAGAAAGGUUCAGAGACUCAGAGACACAGAGAGGCAGAAAGGUACAGAGACACAGAGACACAGAGAGGCAGAAAGGUUGAAAAACACAGAGAGGCAGAAAGGUGCAGAGACACAGAGAGGCAGAAAGGUUGAAAGACACAGAGCUAAAGAGGCAGAAAGGUUGAAAAACACAGAGAGGCAGAAAGGUUGAGAGACACAGAGAGGCAGAAAGGUUCAGAGACAGAGAGACACAGAGAGGCAGAAAGGUUCAGAGACACAGAGAGGCAGAAAGGUUGAGAGACACAGAGGGUUAGAGAGGCAGAAAGGUUGAGAGACACAGAGAGGCAGAAAGAUUCAGAGACACAAAGAGGCAGAGAGGCAGAAAGGUUCAGACACAGAGAUGCAGAAAGGAUCAGAGACACAGAGCUACAGAGGCAGAAAGGUUGAGAGACUCAGAGAGGUUGAGAGACACAGAGCUAAAGAGGCAGAAAGGUUGAGAGACUCAGAGAGGUUGAGAGACACAGAGCUAAAGAGGCAGAAAGGUGCAGAGACACAGAGGGCUACAGAGGCAGAAAGGUUCAGAGACUCAGAGACACAGAGAGAGGCAGAAAGGUGCAGAGACACGGAGAGGCAGAAAGGUUGAGAGACACAGAGAGGCAGAAAGGUGCAGACACAGAGGGCUACAGAGCAAUGAACAGACUUCCAGUUUCAACUCACCCUGGAAACUUUCCUGCGUGCUCUGGGCCGCUUCCCUCGUAUUACUCCCUGCCAGCAGGUGUCCCAGUGAGCGUCCCACCCUAAUGUGUGAAUGAUUGGAAACGGUAGGAGGUGAAGUGGGGGGAUAUGUGCUUUGAGAGAGGAAACCUGCUCUCAGGAUGUGAGGUGGAUUUAACUGCUAUGACAUCCUUUUACAAAUAAACGGUCG
ensembl:lncRNA